UCGAGAAUCUUCGGCAAUGAGCGAAAGCUUGACCGAGCGACGCCGUGUGCGGGAUGAAGGCCUUCGGGUUGUAAACCGCUGUCGUAGGGGAGGAAGGCUCCGUGAAGAACGGGGUUUGACCUAUCCUAGGAGGAAGGACGGGCUAAGUACGUGCCAGCAGCCGCGGUAAUACGUACCGUCCUAACGUUAUUCGGAAUUACUGGGCUUAAAGGGUACGUAGGCGGCGCUGUCAGUCGGGUGUGAAAUCCCUCGGCUCAACCGAGGAACUGCGCCCGAUACUGCAGUGCUUGAGGGAGACAGAGGUAAGCGGAACUGAUGGUGGAGCGGUGAAAUGCGUUGAUAUCAUCAGGAACACCAGUGGCGAAAGCGGCUUACUGGGUCUCUUCUGACGCUGAGGUACGAAAGCUAGGGGAGCGAAGGGGAUUAGAUACCCCCGUAGUCCUAGCUGUAAACGUUGAGCACUUGAUCGUGGGGCCCCCAUACGCCUCUCGGUCGUAGCGAAGUGUUAAGUGCUCCCGG
rnacentral:rRNA from 1 species